GGGUAAUGUUCAUAUGUCCAGGGCACGGAAAAGGGUCUACUUGAAAGAAGAUAGUUCCGGAGAAUCUUUGCUGGCGCAGAUAAAAAUUGCUUAUGAUUGGGCUCUAAAAGAAUAUUCAAAAGCAGGAGAGAGAUAUGAAGAGGCAUUAAAUAUCAAACCAAACUUCUAUGAAGGUAUCCUCGCUCUGGGGCAGCAACAGUUUGAGCAGGCA
rnacentral:misc_RNA from 1 species